UGCCACAGACACUGAUCACCCAUGGCCCCCCUGGGGUCCCAGCAGCAUCUCCUCCCCCAUAAGGUGCCCUGGCUUCUCUCUUUCCUCUGAGAGAACCCAGGCAAAUGCUAAAAACCAGGGUCCCCCACUCGCACUGUGAGUGCUGACGGUUAAACAUUACCGACAGGUUGGGUGGGAAGAGGGUUUGAGAGAACUGGGGGUUUGGUUUUGUUUUUAUCAAUUUAUUUAACAAUUUAUUUUCUUCCUGACUUAAGUUUAUGUUUAUUCUAUUUGGGAAAAGUAAUCUAUUAAUGUGGCAAAGAAAUAAAAAGACGCAGACGAAACCCA